rnacentral:lncRNA from 1 species
UUGCAUUGAUGUAUGAAGAGGUUGUCUGCUCCAUCGGCUGUCUUAAGGAUGUCUGCGAUGUCCUCUCGAGAUACAUGCAGUGUUCGUCCAUCUAUUUCUCUCGCUUAGCCAUCUGGGUCCCUGAAAAUACCAAAUUCGUCUGGAGUUAGAUACUGGUUAUCAAAUUUAUCUUUUUCGCUUAUAGUGGUUUUUGGUAUUGGACGGAUGUCGAUCGAUGUUAUUUUGUUGAUGUCGAUCGAUGUUGAAUGAUUGAUGUCAAUCGAUGGACGACUCUCCCUGUCGAUUGGAUGGCUGAAACGUGUUCUUUCCCAAGCAGCUUCUGCUCGAUUCUGAUCUGUUUCAUCGCGUCUUUUCAUGUUGAGAAGUUCCUCGUGUGUGAAACCCUCAUGAAGUUCAUCAUCUCCUUGAUCACGGUAUACUGUCUCUACUGCGUAGCUCUCGUGAUAGCGAUCAUCUACCCAACUGCCAAUUAAGUAAUCUCCGUCUCUGGUAGCGUCGACGUUAGUGUCGAUCGAUGGGAAGUAGGCGUUGUCGAUCGAUGCUCGAAGGUUGUUUGGUUGGUGAGGUUUAGUGUCGAUCGA